rnacentral:rRNA from 1 species
AAGUCGUAACAAGGUUUCCGUAGGUGAACCUGCGGAAGGAUCAUUAAAAGUAAAUAUGUAUUCUCUCGAAUAUACAUUUCAAACCCACCUGCGUACGUUACCCGUUGCUUCCGCGAGGCAGUGAUCUCGGUCACCUCCAGAAGAUGGCGAAGGCCAUCCGAACGGGGAGCACUCGCGAAAGGUUUACAUCAAACCCUUGCAAUUUCAUGCCAUCUGUCUGAACCUGUUUAUAACAAAUGUUAAAACUUUCAACAACGGAUCUCUUGGUUCUCGCAUCGAUGAAGAACGCAGCGAAAUGCGAUAAGUAGUGUGAAUUGCAGAAUUCAGUGAAUCAUCGAAUCUUUGAACGCACAUUGCGCCUCCUGGUAUUCCGGGAGGCAUGCCUGUUCGAGCGUCAUUAGAAACCACUCAGGCCGUUUUUAUGGCUUGGUAUUGGGAGAGGAGUGCACCCGCUGCCUUCCCUUCCGAAAUUCAAUGGCGGAAAGCCCCACGUGCCCCGGCGUAGUAAGAUUUCUUUCGCCCGGAACCUGAGGUGAUCCUGCCGCGAACCCCCAUUUCUUUACAGGUUGACCUCGGAUCAGGUAGGGAUACCCGCUGAACUUAAGCAUAUCAAUAAGCGGAGGAAAAGAAACCAACAGGGAUUGCCUUAGUAACUGCGAGUGAAGCGGCAAGAGCUCAAAUUUUAAAUCUGACGUCCUCGGGCGUUCGAGUUGUAAUUUGGAGGGACAUAUUCGGGGGUGGCGCCGUCCUAAGUUCCUUGGAACAGGACGUCACAGAGGGUGAGAAUCCCGUGCCAGGACGGCUGUCCACCACCUUGUGAAUUGUCUCCAACGAGUCGAGUUGUUUGGGAAUGCAGCUCAAAAUGGGUGGUAAAUUUCAUCUAAAGCUAAAUAUUGGCGAGAGACCGAUAGCGCACAAGUAGAGUGAUCGAAAGAUGAAAAGCACUUUGAAAAGAGAGUUAAAAAGUACGUGAAAUUGUUGAAAGGGAAGCGCUUGCGACCAGACUCGAUCUUCGGCGAUCAGCCGGGCCUUCCAGGCUCGGUGCACUUGCCGCUGAUCGGGCCAGCAUCGGUUCCGAGGGUGGGAUAAAAGUUCGGGGAAUGUGGCUUCCUUCGGGAGGUGUUAUAGACCCGUUCAUAAUGCCACCAUUUGGGACCGAGGACCGCGCUUCGGCUAGGAUGCUGGCGUAAUGGUCUUAAGCGACC